CAGCACCUGAAAUGUUUGACAAUCUUACCAAUUUUGAACCUGCAAAUAUCUGACAGGGAGACUUUAUUUCUGUGAGGAUGUCAGGCCGCCUCGAGCGGAAGGCAGAUGGACAGAUGCGGUCACCCACCUGGCACAGCCAGGCGUCAAUACGUAAGACCGGCAUUUCGGGGCUGU
rnacentral:other from 1 species